rnacentral:ncRNA from 1 species
CAAACCAUGCACCGAAGCUACGGGUAUCACCUUUUGGUGAUGCGGUAGAGGAGCGUUCUGUAAGCCUGUGAAGGUGAGUUGAGAAGCUUGCUGGAGGUAUCAGAAGUGCGAAUGCUGACAUGAGUAACGACAAUGCGAGUGAAAAACUCGCACGCCGAAAGACCAAGGUUUCCUGCGCAACGUUAAUCGACGCAGGGUUAGUCGGUCCCUAAGGCGAGGCUGAAAAGCGUAGUCGAUGGAAAACAGGUUAAUAUUCCUGUACUUCCAGUUAUUGCGAUGGAGGGACGGAGAAGGUUAGGCCAGCCUGGCGUUGGUUGUCCAGGUUUAAGGUGGUAGGCUGAAAUCUUAGGCAAAUCCGGGAUUUCAAGGCCGAGAGCUGAUGACGAGUUGCCUUUAGGCGACGAAGUGGUUGAUACCAUGCUUCCAAGAAAAGCUCCUAAGCUUCAGAUAACUGGGAACCGUACCCCAAACCGACACAGGUGGUUAGGUAGAGAAUACCAAGGCGCUUGAGAGAACUCGGGUGAAGGAACUAGGCAAAAUGGCACCGUAACUUCGGGAGAAGGUGCGCCGGCGAGGGUGAAGGACUUGCUCCGUAAGCUCAUGCCGGUCGAAGAUACCAGGCCGCUGCGACUGUUUAUUAAAAACACAGCACUCUGCAAACACGAAAGUGGACGUAUAGGGUGUGACGCCUGCCCGGUGCCGGAAGGUUAAUUGAUGGGGUUAGCGCAAGCGAAGCUCUUGAUCGAAGCCCCGGUAAACGGCGGCCGUAACUAUAACGGUCCUAAGGUAGCGAAAUUCCUUGUCGGGUAAGUUCCGACCUGCACGAAUGGCGUAACGAUGGCGGCGCUGUCUCCACCCGAGACUCAGUGAAAUUGAAAUCGCUGUGAAGAUGCAGUGUAUCCGCGGCUAGACGGAAAGACCCCGUGAACCUUUACUAUAGCUUUGCACUGGACUUUGAAUUUGCUUGUGUAGGAUAGGUGGGAGGCUUUGAAGUGGGGACGCCAGUUCUCAUGGAGCCAUCCUUGAAAUACCACCCUGGCAACUUUGAGGUUCUAACUCAGGUCCGUUAUCCGGAUCGAGGACAGUGUAUGGUGGGUAGUUUGACUGGGGCGGUCUCCU